rnacentral:misc_RNA from 1 species
GUCUCUCAAGCUGUGCUUGGUGUUGGAUGUUUGUCCAUUCUCUUGUGCCUGGACUCAUCUCAAAGCAAUUGGCAGCCAGUGUUUUGGUUUACUAGUGCAGCACAUUUUGCACUUGUAGCUUAGAUACUCGCAACCCACAAGAAUUUUUAC